UUGCACGCUGGCGGCAGGCCUCACACAUGCCAGUCGAACGGUAACAGGAAGCAGCUUGCUGCUUUGCUGACGAGUGGCGGACGGGUGAGUAAUGUCUGGGAAACUGCCUGAUGGAGGGGGAUAACUACUGGAAACGGUAGCUAAUACCGCAUAACGUCGCAAGACCAAAGAGGGGGACCUUCGGGCCUCUUGCCAUCGGAUGUGCCCAGAUGGGAUUAGCUAGUAGGUGGGGUAACGGCUCACCUAGGCGACGAUCCCUAGCUGGUCUGAGAGGAUGACCAGCCACACUGGAACUGAGACACGGUCCAGACUCCUACGGGAGGCAGCAGUGGGGAAUAUUGCACAAUGGGCGCAAGCCUGAUGCAGCCAUGCCGCGUGUAUGAAGAAGGCCUUCGGGUUGUAAAGUACUUUCAGCGGGGAGGAAGGGAGUAAAGUUAAUACCUUUGCUCAUUGACGUUACCCGCAGAAGAAGCACCGGCUAACUCCGUG
rnacentral:rRNA from 1 species